UUUGCAGUGAGUAAACGGUAGCCAUGAGUUCCGGCUACGGACCCGAAGCAUGUGCAGGCUCAGGACCUAUACGCUAUGUGCAGUUCCCUCCUCUUGGAGUCGCUCUUCCUGGAGUCACAGGAGAUGAUGAGG
rfam:Camelus ferus unplaced genomic scaffold scaffold56579, whole genome shotgun sequence.